GUAGAUAUAGUUUAACAAAAAUAUUAGAUUGUGAUUCUAAAAAUAGAGGUUAUACCCCUCUUAUCCACC
rnacentral:tRNA from 1 species